rnacentral:tRNA from 1 species
ACUUCUAUAGGAAAGCAGUAAUCCAUUGGUUUUAGGU